rnacentral:rRNA from 1 species
AUUGAACGCUGGCGGCAGGCCUAACACAUGCAAGUCGAGCGGAUGAAGGGAGCUUGCUCCCUGAUUUAGCGGCGGACGGGUGAGUAAUGCCUAGGAAUCUGCCUGGUAGUGGGGGAUAACGUUCCGAAAGGAACGCUAAUACCGCAUACGUCCUACGGGAGAAAGCAGGGGACCUUCGGGCCUUGCGCUAUCAGAUGAGCCUAGGUCGGAUUAGCUAGUUGGUGAGGUAAUGGCUCACCAAGGCGACGAUCCGUAACUGGUCUGAGAGGAUGAUCAGUCACACUGGAACUGAGACACGGUCCAGACUCCUACGGGAGGCAGCAGUGGGGAAUAUUGGACAAUGGGCGAAAGCCUGAUCCAGCCAUGCCGCGUGUGUGAAGAAGGUCUUCGGAUUGUAAAGCACUUUAAGUUGGGAGGAAGGGCAUUAACCUAAUACGUUAGUGUUUUGACGUUACCGACAGAAUAAGCACCGGCUAACUUCGUG